rnacentral:rRNA from 1 species
CUACGGGCGGCAGCAGUGGGGAAUAUUGCACAAUGGGCGCAAGCCUGAUGCAGCCAUGCCGCGUGUAUGAAGAAGGCCUUCGGGUUGUAAAGUACUUUCAGCGGGGAGGAAGGGAGUAAAGUUAAUACCUUUGCUCAUUGACGUUACCCGCAGAAGAAGCACCGGCUAAGUCCGUGCCAGCAGCCGCGGUAAUACGGAGGGUGCAAGCGUUAAUCGGAAUUACUGGGCGUAAAGCGCACGCAGGCGGUUUGUUAAGUCAGAUGUGAAAUCCCCGGGCUCAACCUGGGAACUGCAUCGGGUACUGGCAAGGUUGAGUGUCGUAGAGGGGGGUAGAAUUCCAGGUGUAGCGGUGAAAUGCGUAGAGAUCUGGAGGAAUACCGGUGGCGAAGGCGGCCCCCUGGACGAAGACUGACGCUCAGGUGCGAAAGCGUGGGGAGCAAACAGGAUUAGAUACCCGCGUAGUC